UGGGUUGUGGCUCAGUGGUAGAGUAGUUGCCUAGUAUGUGCGAGGCCCUGGGUUCGAUUCUCAGCACCACAA
rnacentral:tRNA from 1 species